UACAGAGGGGGCAAGCGUUAUUCGGAAUUAUUGGGCGUAAAGGGCGCGUGAGGCGCUUGGCAAGUGGAUGGUGAAAUCCCUCGGCUUAACCGAGGAACUGCCGUCCAAACUGCUUCGCUUGAGACCGGGAGAGGUGAGUGGAAUUCCCAGUGUAGCGGUGAAAUGCGUAGAUAUUGGGAGGAACACCAGUGGCGAAGGCGGCUCACUGGACCGGUACUGACGCUGAUGCGCGAAAGCGUGGGGAGCAAACGGG
rnacentral:rRNA from 1 species